AGACCACAUUCAUAUAACUUUUAUUAUAGUAUGUUAUUAUUUUUGUUCUAUUUUACCAUUACUUACUAUUGUUCAUCUCUUACCAUGUCUUACCUUAGUAUUAUUAACUAAUAAUUUAAUUUAUAAAUUAGACUUUAUCCUAGGUGUGCGUGUAUAGGAAAAAACAGGAUAUAUAGGGUUCAGCACUAUCUGUGGCUUCAGGCAUCUGCGGGGGGUCUUGGAACGUAUCCCUGUGGAUAAGGUUUCAGGUGUGCAAUACAGUGAUUCGACACUUCCUACAACAGCCAGGAAGAGUCUGACAUGUGUUCCCCAAGGCUGAAGGACACAGGGGACUGGCAUCUAACUCUCUGAGAGGUCUCCCGCAUGAUAGGUUGGCUGAGUUGCUGCAACAGACAAGAGGAAGAAAUGGUGUAUCAGGGCCACCAGCACUCCUGGAGUUCACUGGGGUUAACAACAGUAACUGGUGGAGGAAGAAAAAACAGCAUUUGGAAGAAGAAUUAAGGUGUUCUGGGAGAACCUUCACUGUGGGUGUGGUGGAUGGAAAGAAAGUAGACCAUGUACCUCAAGAAGAUACAAGAACAGACACCUUCCCAGAGAUAGAGACCUCUGGCACACCCCUACCUACCACAGUUUGA
rnacentral:lncRNA from 1 species